rnacentral:rRNA from 1 species
CCCUUAGAUGUUCUGGGCCGCACGCGCGCUACACUGAUGCAUUCAACGAGUCUAAAGCCUGCUCUGAUAGGGGUGGGUAAUCUUUUGAAUGUGCAUCGUGAUUGGGAUAGAUGAUUGCAAUUUUUCAUCUUCAACGAGGAAUGCCUAGUAAACGCAAGUCAUCAGCUUGCAUUGAUUACGUCCCUGCCCUUUGUACACACCGCCCGUCGCUCCUACCGAUUGAAUGAUCCGAUGAAUAUCAUGGAUUGAGGAUGCAAGUAGGUUCGCCUAUCUUCAUCUUCGAGAAGUGAAGUAAAUCUUAUCAUUUAGAGGAAGGAGAAGUCGUAACA